UACAGAGGGUGCAAGCGUUAUUCGGAAUUACUGGGCGUAAAGAGCGCGUAGGCGGCUCGAUAAGUCUGAUGUGAAAUCCCUGGACUCAAUUCAGGAAGUGCAUUGGAUACUGUCGAGCUCGAGUGAAGGAGAGGAAAGCGGAAUUCCCGGUGUAGAGGUGAAAUUCGUAGAUAUCGGGAGGAACAACAGAGGCGAAGGCGGCUUUCUGGACUUCAACUGACGCUGAGGCGCGAAAGCGUGGGGAGCAAAC
rnacentral:rRNA from 1 species